GUUUCCAGCACUUCCCUCAACAAACUUCUGGGAACUACUGUGGCAUCCUUAUACUCAUUUAUGCCCUCUGUAUCUGCACCAAUACCCCAUUUAUCUUCACAGAGAAUGAUGUGCCAUUAAUCCGCCAGUGGUGGUGCAUCCUACUGAUGGAAAGAUUUCAGAUUGAAGGACAUGGCCAGAGGUUUGCUUUCUGGACUGACAAGGCUAGCAGGCUAUUGCAAGGGACCCUUCAGCCACUUUUUAGGGUAUCUAGGUCAAUCACUUCAGACAUUCCACCUCAUGUGCAAACCAUGGUCAACCGCACAGCCCAAGAAAAGAAGCUGGUAGACUUUGCUGUACAAGACCAUGGAGUCCGGCAACAUUUGUUGGUAUGUUUGUCACACAUUAACAAUGUUUGUUAUUUACAAUUUGCACAUUGUUUUACCAUUACAGUGUUAUAAGCAAAUAAGCAAAAGGCCUUAUAAUUCAUGCUUGUUGUCACCAUGUGUUGGGGGACUUUUUUUUUUUUUUUUUUUUUUUAAUGUGGAUUUACAGUCCAAAACUUUUAACAUAAACUACUUUUGACAUUCAACUAGAAAUGUUAAAUGUUUGCUCAUGUUUUGAUGAAGUGCUUUUGGCACUUUGCCUUUUGACCUAAGGGUGUACUCUGUGGAAAAGAGCCUUCGAAGUGGCUCAGCAGAAUCCAGAAGGGAUCAUCUCUACGGGUGCCAGUGUACCUGGACUUGGAGGAAGAACAGGACUCCCUAUUUUUCUAUCUUCAGGAUGUCCUGAAAUCUGCACCAGUAGAAUUCCACAUUGAGGAUCAAGUGCAGUUCAUUUUGGAUGUUUUGUUCCCAGAGGUAAGGUUACUAGGUAUGCAGUAAAUAUCUAUUAACAAUGUUAAAUAGCCUGUUGUGACUUAAGUUACAUAAAAAUUUUAAUCAAAUGUAUCUUUUUUUUAAAUCCAAUAGAGUAGUACUGUGAGACCAUGAUAACCACAAUACAUUUUCUCAGACAGUUAUUGGGUCAUUUUCAGCAGUGACACUAACGCUAAUGCUGGAGUUUUUAAACACCUCAGUUUCACUUGCUUGACCUGAAUAGUCCACCGGCGGUGGACAUCCAGUGAGCAUUGAUGAAGGACUAGAGUAUUGACAGCACCAA